CCUUUGAGAUUCUGGUAGUUCCUGAAAUUUUAAUAUUUAAUGCGUUAAUUAAUUUUCUGUUUUAGUAUAUAAAGAUAAAAUUUAAGGAAAAUUUUAAUUAAAAUAACUAAUAGAUUGUGACUUCAGGGGCUAUAGAUCUCUGAAAGGGAAAGAUAAAUACUAGAGCUAGAAGUCCACAUGACGAAAUUCGUUAAACAGUGAAAAUCUUUUUAUAAAAACCAGAGUUAGUGUUGUUUUGCUUUCAAACUUUGGAAAUUUUGUAAAAUUCAGUGUGUGUGUCUACACAGCUCGAGAGACUUUUCAAAAUUUGAAAGCGAGCUAUGGGAUAUAAAUCAUGCUAAGUUCCCAUUCCUCUGUUGGUUAAUUACUAUAGCCCAGCUAUUCAGGGCACCUGCCCUGCCCUACCCUUGAAGACUUCUGAUUUCUCAACCAACUUCCAACUGUACACUUUUUUCCGGAUGGAUGUGUAUAUCAUUUCAUUCUUAAACUAAUUCUUGCUGGACUUUAACUCGAGAUGGAUAUGUUAACGAAAAUCUAACAUUUUGGAUUCUAGCUAACUUUUCUCUUUCUUAUUUUUCUCAAUAUCUAUUAAAAUCGCCUCUCAGGUGUUAAAUCGAACAUAAAUUCAAUUAAAAAAAUUAAGAAAAUAAUUAAACUAAUAAUUUAAUGGUCGAAUUUCCUGCUAAAUCAGGGAAAAUUACUUUCCUCAACUAAUCACAAGGUCAAAUGAAGCCAUUGUUAGUUAACUUUUGAAGAAGAAUGAUAAUAAUGUUAUUGUUGAUCUAGUGAAAUUAAAUUGACGAUUAAUGUGUUCAAUUGCGAAAUCAAUUAAUUUCUAGACUAAAAUGAAGAAAAUGAUCAAUGAAGUUGUACCUGUAAGAACUUGAUGAUGUUGCUAGCACCGAACACG
rnacentral:misc_RNA from 1 species